GAUAUCUAUUAAAAAAAAAAACAAAGAAAAAAAGAAGGAAAAAAGACCCCGCCUCCUCCUCCCCCCCUCCCCCCCCCUCUUCUGCGCUCCGGUCCGUACAUCUUUUGUCUUAAAUUCGCUCCCUUCUCUUUUUGUUGCCCCCUUUUAAAUCCGCGUUGAUUUACGCGGAGCGUUUCGAGGCUCGGAAGGAAAUGUCCGUUUCGUUGGCUGGAAUCGACGCUGCUUAGAGCUGUUUAACGCCGGGACAGCGGGACGGCCGCUUAGUGCGGAGCUCGGCGCUGCGCAGCGCGGACCCCCGACGACCCCCAAGCAGCAGCCACCGCAAACACAACUCUCAGCCAAGAGCACAAAGAGCCCCGACCAUUUCGCGGUGACUGAUUUAUGGCGUUUUACAACCCCAUAAAAAGCUGUAACAACCAGCCAAAAGCCUUCGACACCGCUGGCACAUUUAGUCUAAUAAAUA
rnacentral:lncRNA from 1 species